CAUACCUAUUCGAAGGGAUAGGGUCGGUUUGGCCGGAUUUCACACAGGUGUUGCAUGGUUGUCGUCAGCUCGUGUCGUGAGAUGUUGGGUUAAGUCCCGCAACGAGCGCAACCCUCAUCCUUAGUUACCAUCAGGUUAUGCUGGGGACUUUAAGGAAACUGCCAGUGAUAAACUGGAGGAAGGUGGGGAUGAUGUCAAGUCAUCAUGGCCCUUAUGGAGUGGGCUACACACGUGCUACAAUGGUGAUUACAAUGGGCUGCAAGGUCGCAAGGCUGAGCUAAUCCUAAAAAAUCAUCUCAGUUCGGAUUGUUCUCUGCAACUCGAGAGCAUGAAGUUGGAAUCGCUAGUAAUCGUGGAUCAGCAUGCCACGGUGAAUACGUUCUCGGGUCUUGUACACACUGCCCGUCACGCCAUGGGAAUUGGUUUCACUCGAAGCU
rnacentral:rRNA from 1 species